rnacentral:rRNA from 1 species
AUUGAACGCUGGCGGCAUGCCUAACACAUGCAAGUCGAACGGUAACAGGCCCUUCGGGGUGCUGACGAGUGGCGGAUGGGUGAGUAAUACUUAGGAAUCUACCCUGUAGUGGGGGACGAACCCGGGGAAACGUCGGGCUAAUACCGCAUACGCUCUACGGAGGAAAGCGGGGGACCGGCAAGGCCUCGCGCUAUUGGAUGAGCCUAAGCCCGAUUAGCUAGUUGGUGGGGUAAUAGCCUACCAAGGCAAUGAUCGGUAGCUGGUCUGAGAGGACGACCAGCCACACUGGGACUGAGACACGGCCCAGACUCCUACGGGAGGCAGCAGUGGGGAAUAUUGGACAAUGGGCGAAAGCCUGAUCCAGCGAUGCCGCGUGUGUGAAGAAGGCCU